rnacentral:rRNA from 1 species
GACGAACGCUGGCGGCGUGCUUAACACAUGCAAGUCGUACGGUAAGGCCCUUUCGGGGGUCCACGAGUGGCGAACGGGUGAGUAACACGUGAGUAACCUGCCCACAACUUUGGGAUAACGCUAGGAAACUGGUGCUAAUACUGGAUAUGUGCUCCUGCUGCAUGGGGGGGGUUGGAAAGCUCCGGCGGUUGUGGAUGGACUCGCGGCCUAUCAGCUUGUUGGUGGGGUAGUGGCCUACCAAGGCGGCGACGGGUAGCCGGCCUGAGAGGGUGACCGGCCACAUUGGGACUGAGAUACGGCCCAGACUCCUACGGGAGGCAGCAGUGGGGAAUAUUGCACAAUGGGCGCAAGCCUGAUGCAGCAACGCCGCGUGCGGGAUGACGGCCUUCGGGUUGUAAACCGCUUUCAGCAGGGACGAAGCUUUUUGUGACGGUACCUGCAGAAGAAGCACCGGCUAACUACGUG